GACGAACGCUGGCGGCGUGCUUAACACAUGCAAGUCGAACGGAAAGGCCCUUUCUUUGUUGCGCGCUCGACGGGCGAGCGGGUGAGAAAAACGUGAGGUACCCCCCCCUUUGUUUUGGGGAUAGUCAGGUAACUGUGGUACUUAACCGGUAGGACUUCUUCCUGCAUGGGGUGGGUUAGCUAAGGCGGUUGGGGAUGGACUCUCGCCCUGUCUGCUUGCUGGUGGGGGGGUGGGUUACGAUGGCGGUGACGGGUGGCAGGCCUGAGAGGGUGACCGGCCACAUUGGGACUGAGAUACGGCCCAGACUCCUACGGGAGGCAGAAGGGGGGAAUAUUGCACAAUGGGCGGAAGCCUGAUGAAGAAACGCCGCGUGCGGGAUGACGGCUUUCGGGUUGUAAACCGCUUUAGCCUGUGACGAAGCGUGAGUGACGGUAAUGGGUAAAGAAGCACCGGCUAACUACGUG
rnacentral:rRNA from 1 species